GCCUCCCUCAUAUUGUCAACAUGUCCACUUUCUGAGGCCGCUUAUCCAUAGGUCAUAGGUCGAGUACCUACCGUAACACAGGUAGGAGUUGGAACCCUAGCCGAAUCUCGUGGUUGUCGGCGUAUUUUUAAAGCGCGGGUUAUCAUCAAUAUUGCACAGUGACAUCGUGAAAAUUACGCAGCCCUGGUUGUAACGAAAUCGUCUGCGGGUUUUUGUACGCAGGUUUUUUGUGCAUCACAUUUAAUACUUCGCAAGCGUUAGCUUUCGGGUUUUAUACGACGCGCGCUAUCGCAAAAAAUCGAGUACGGAUUUUUAAAAAUCGCGCACGUGAUAAAAUGUCGUGGACGACUUCGAAAAGCCGCGGGUUUUUUUUAUAAAAAAUCGCGCACCUCGAAAAGAACCUGCGGACAACCUCUAGGAGAAAGUAUUCAAUGUUUCGUUGGCAACUAUACCUCGACCUCAACUGCCUAGGCUCCCUCGGUUUAUCGCGGUGAACACGCUUGAGUCGCUUCCUAGCCUAUCUUAACGAAUCGGUAUCUACUACUUUAGAGCAAGGUAAUAAGAAGUUUCUUUUGUAACCCAUCGAAAGUUUGACAGUUGAGCGUAACGAAGGCAGCUUUGUAGCUGAUUACGACGUAGGUAGUCGUAGCUGUAGGGUAACAAAAGACGCGGAAGUCCCGUUAUUCCAUGUGGCAACGAAGGGCGGCCGGGGUUUAAGGCACAAUGAAGGCCGGCAUCUGGAGACGGCAGCAACCGGUACCUGCGGAGGCUCAGGCUCAGGAGCGGAGACGUACAGCAGUAGAAGGGCACCGAGCGGUACCCGGUGGACGACGGGACGGAGCUCGAGCGGCUCGCGGACCGGCGUGCCCCGGUGGCGCACAGGAAGCAGAGGUGCGGCGCGUUGGAGCGGGCGGAGGGCGGCCAGGCAGGGCGCGACCGCAGCGAGCAGGUGGAGCAGCGCGACGGCGAGGGCGCGCAGCGGCCGGAGGGCCUGCCGCGGCUCAGGUGGUCGCUGCAGGGCGGGCUGUUCAAGGUGGAGGUAUCCCACCGCAAGCUGCCGGAGCGGCGUGGCAAGUGCCGGAAGGAGCUACGGCGAACGCGGCCGCCGUCCUCCGGGCUGACCCAGCACCGGCUGAAGCACGUGGUGACCCAGCGGCGACACCGGGUUCGGGCGUUCCACGGCACGCGGUACGAAGAGGGCACGCGACGACCGCAGCGCCGGAACAGGCCGGGCGGCGGCCUCAGGGCUCGCCUCCUUGUAGUUCGCCAGAGGUCCAGGUACCUGCGUCGCGGCUCCAAGCUCCGACUCGACUGGUGCCUCCUCAAGCGGCGUCUUCUGCGGAGCCCCAACAGGUAGUACCCGGCGAAGAAAUACUGCAACUUCUCCAGGUUCGAGCAGCGGGAAGCCUCGUCGGGUCUUGACCUCGGGCUGCGCAAGGGCGAGGACUGCUCCGAGAUGCCGUUCGGCCGGCAGGGCGAGCCGGACGAAGGCGGCGGCGGGUUGCCUCUGGCGUCGCGGUCGCUCUUGAGGCUCCUGCAACGCUAGUAAGUCACCGAGCUGCGCGCCGGCCGGUUCAGCCACCAGAUGCACCGCAACCCUUCGCUCCGCGGCAACGCGCGGCUCGACGAGGCGCUCGACCGGGUGCCCGACCUCGAGAGGCCUUGCGCGAAGGAGACCCAGGAUUCCUUAGGGCAGUUGCCGCUGCGCCUGUGGUAGGAUGGUCUGCCGAAGUACCUCGCGUGGCGGCUCGCACCCGAACACCGCCACGCCACCCAAGGAGUCCACUCGUAUGACCGCGUGCCGCGCCACCCGCGCAAGAACUGCGUGACGCCCACCCCAAGCCAGCACCUCCCCGAGGUCAAGCCCGUGGGGGACUAGUACGACGGCGAGCGGCCACUGGUCCCGGGGUUGCGCGCCGAGUACCUCCUCUCCUUCCAGCCCCACGACCACGGCUCUCUGCUCUUCCUACCCAGCAAAUGGGCCCUGCCGCAGCGGCCUCGACAAGCCCGGCAACAACACCUCCUCCCCCCUUCCCACAAGCGCCUGUUACGGUUCUCCGACGUUCCGUAGCACCGCUCGCACCUCACGUUGCUCUCCACGUAGCUGAACAAACAAGUCGUGAAUGCUAGAACAUCCUUGAUCCCUCCCAUUCUUAAAAAAACUCGAUAGAUGAUGGAGACAUGACUUCAUGAAGAUCAACCCUCCUUGAAGCUUUUAAGCAACCGCACCUGCUCGAGCGGACGAGCGCAAUAGACGUUCGCAGCCAGGAGCAGCCCUAUACCUUGCGUGCGACAUAACGUCGAGCAUCUGCUGCUGAGUAAAUUACUCACUGCGCCUGCCCUUCUCUUUCAAACAUGCCACGCCCACUGCCUGCAACUCCGCGAUCCGCCGGCAAAAGUAGUACAUCGUUACACAUAGGGACGAUCUGACUUAAGACGAUCUGACUUAAGGCGAGCCCAGCUGGAUGGAUGAGGUAAUUUGAGGGGUAGAUAGUAGCUGCCGCCGAGUCAGAUAUUAUCAGGUAGGGGUUUAGCUUCCUUGCUUGGGAUCAACGUGUGACAAGAAUUAUCUGGGGGUUUAGCCUCGUUCCUUGUCGUCGGUGAUUUGGGAUCAAAAACGUAUCUAAAGAAGUCUAAACAAGUUGUAGUGAACAGACUUGGGAGAAGCGGCCAGUUGCUGUCGGCAGUCCACCACCUACGCUAAAGAUGUUCAUCGUUCGCAUGCGGCUGAUGGAGCGCAGCGGCACAGGUCGGCGUGGGGGUAACCGCGUUUAGCUCGGUCCUAUUCUCGUUCCGCCGGUUCGAAACCCUCAAGUUCUAGAUGUCCACGGUGUGCGUGGUGUGGUGUCCCGUCGUCUUGCCGUACGGCCCCCGUGGGUCAAGCAAAGAAGUCAGUCGCGGCGACGUCCUAUGUACGAGCGGCGCGAAGGUCGACGACCCGCGGUCCCUUGGUAACCGCAACUGCGACGUAGGUAGUUAGACCACCAGAGGCUCCGGUUGGAACAGUGAACCCACGUUUUCACGAACCCACCGUUAGGAACACAACCAACACCAGUACGUGCACGCACCAAUCCGCGGUCGACGCUUAUCUCGUGCCGCAUAGUAACAUGGACGUUUAGUUCAUAAUACUACAGACAUAGUAACCAAUCGUCGGUUCACAUAUUACCACAUUCGCGUCGAUACCACAACGACUACCGCUUGAAAACAUUACUAGUUCAAAUUCGACACACUACAUCAGAGCAAACACGUUGAUUAUUAUAAUUAC
rnacentral:rRNA from 1 species